AAGUAGAGGUGUGGCUUGUGUUUUAGCUGCAAGAAAGCGGGCCCUGGUCUACAUACUGGACGAGGAUGAAGAUGAAAUCUCUGAUUCAGAAUGACUGUUCAAGAUUUUGUGGUGGUUAUGCUCGUGUUGCUCCUGUGGGUGGACCUCUACUCUCCGAAGCUGCAGACAUCGGUGUGAGAAGCAAUACAUGUUGGCUUUUGUGACUGAAGUUUUCCGGUUCCGCCCUUCUUGGAAAGUGUUAAUUUAUACCUGCCACGUGCCUUUCCUGCCUGGUGGGCAUUUGUUGAAGAUAAAACUGGAGUAAAAGGUAACUAUUUAUCUAUUUAGAGCCAUGGCUUCUAUCUGGUGGCAAUUGCCUUCAUAGUAUUGCUGCAAACUUUGAGACCCAUUCGAUAGUGCCAAGCUUAUGCUUCAUCUGUAUAUGUUUAUAACCCUCAUAUAUAAGAGAAACAAAUGCUUGGUUUGGAUUUUCUAUACUUUGGGUUGAAUGGUUCACUUGGUGUAAUCGACCAACGAACUUUGCUUUUGAAUGUUAAAGUCUCUCACCUAAAUUUGACUUGCUUCUCUAUGUCAACGUUAAGUGAUGCAUCCAAUUCAAAGCACAAAAUACGUUUGUGUGGAAGGGCUACCCUCCGGGAUCAAUAUAAUCAACAUGACCAGCCACUAAAUAUACAGUUGCAAGGUGGCUUUAAAGAGCAUUUGACUAUAUUGUUGUAUCGGAGAUUCGGAAUCCGCAAAUGAACGGUAGGUUUAGGAUGAUGAGACUAUGUCUACAAUAUCUUCAAUGGACUUGUGUUUUCUUAACCAAGAGUAUCACGUAGCCAUUGAAUUUAAUGAUGUAUAAACUUAUAGGAAUGUUCAAUUUUUUAAGUAGUUCAUGACGUAAAGGAACUUUGGAAUGACCCAGUAAAUUUGAAAGAUCUAGAUACUCAAUCCUCUAUCAUAAGGACAAAAUUCUAGUGCCGACCCAAUAUUAAAUCAAACAGACCCCGAGCUGCUUUGCAUCAAAGCUCGUUAUAGAGAAAUUUAAGUAAACCAUUUCAAAGACCGAGAAAACAAGAAGAGAAGGCCAGGAAAACGGGUACAAGAGAACUUAGGGUGCCUUUGGUUUAGUGGUUUAAGCCUAUUAAGAAAAUGUAAAGAAAUUUAACCUAAAGGAUUUUGGGUAAAUACAAAUUUUUUUAAUAAAUUAUGCUUUGAGAAGUAAUUUUGAAAGAAAUGUCAUUUGGUAAAAAAAUGUAUUUGAAAAUCGGAAAUUUUGAAGAAUGAGUAAGGGUAGUUUUUGAGGAAAAAAAAUGAGUUUUAGCAUUUGACCAAAUGCUGAAAGCUUAAUGCUAAUCCUUAUUAAUAUUGGGCUUUUAGCUUUGUUAAUGCUGGCUUUUUAUUUAAAAGUUACUUUAAAAUAAUUGUUAAAUGAUUGAGCAUUUUCCCAAGGAUUUUGGAGAUUGAAAGCUCUUUGGGAAUGUUAAACCAAACGCAUCUUAAGGGUUGACAAUGCAUGCGUUCUCCGAAAAGGCUGCAUUGCCACUAGAUAGCAGCAGUAGGCAAGACUUGUCACAUGGGUCUCCAUGGAUUUGGUCGCAAUUCUAAUGCAUAAUAAGCGUAGAAUUCAAGUACCCUCUUUGAAUGGUAUGACCUUGCAUUCCUUACAUGUGAUACAUCAGAUAACUUUCCUGAAGAAAGAUGUCGAAAGAACUGAGGUAGAGACACUUUUCAAUGAAAAAAAGUAGUCGCUUAAGAAGGCUUUCAACAAAGCUGUUCUAUAUACAGAUGAAGAAUAUCACCCAAUGAAAUAAUACCACCAUUUAAGAAACAAUUACCAUCAUUUCUAUCAGGAAUAGAAUCAUCUUCCCUAAAGCGAAGAAAGAAGUAUGAACAAGCCCGGACUUCGAUAGUUGGUUGGUCUAACUCCACGAGUCUGACACCUGUCUUCCUGAUGAAGUACCCCCACUGCAGCACCGCCUUUAUCUUGAGCCAGCCAAUAACGCCUCUGCCGGUUCCCCUAACAAAACCAUUAUCGGAUAACGGGGUCUCAGAGAACGGGUCAUUACAUGGUGUGUUCUCAGCAAACCAUGAUUGGAUCUCUUCCAUCACAUGAUCGCCUUCAAGAAGAGCAUUAUCAUAUCCUGCAUUGUCCAUUUGGCUCGAAGAACCGAUCAUUUGGCGAUGUAUGGCAUUCUGUAAGUUGAUACCAAGGGUCUGUGUUGGCAAUCCGGCAGUAGUACUAUCAUGAUAUCCUGGAGGAAUCUGAACAUUCGAGCGGUCUGCAGACAUGGGCUGAUGUGCAGCAGGACGAAAAUUUGGCAAUUGAACCCGCAAUGCCAAAGCCGUUGCACCAUUGAGUCCUGAAGAAAGAACUAAACAUUAAUGCGGUUCAUAAACAUAGGCCGACGUAAGCACAGGACUACGAGCCUAUAAAAAUUCUUGCAAUGAUUCAUCAUGAGCUUUUACUAUUCUGGUAUCACAGAAAGUGCUACUAGUUUUUUUUUCCCUUACCCUGCACAUCUCUUUAAUUUUUCUUGCCCCUGAUCUUUGUAACGCGCUUCACUUGACAAGGCCCUUUUGUAAAAUGACAAAAAUGCAAAUAUAAACAUGUUGCCGUGUGCUCAUUACAUCUAGUCAUAUCUACCUAGUGGUAGCAUUAUCUUGUCAACGUUCACUUAGCAUCACCUAAGUGAAGGGUUCAUGAGUAUCCGCCCUCCCCAUCUCCAAUCCCCCACUCAAAAAAGGCACAUGUUACCACCUAAUUUUUUAGUUGCUUUUCAAUUGCUUGGACGGAACACAUACAUGCAUACAUACGUAUAUAUGUAUUGAAUGAGGCUCAUUUUGCAUCAAUCACAGCUGGACAAACGAACGUCUUUAUAUUAAGUGGAACCCAAAAGGAUAAGUUACACAAUGCUUUAAUAUAUAAAAGCUCAACAAUCAAGUGGAAAUUCCAAUUUUCAUUGAAAUUUCACAGGCCACGUCUUUGUAUGUGCUUAAAGGGAGAGACAGUAUUGUGUUCUAGAGAACGUACCUUCAGCAGUGGAGCUCACAUUUGCCGGAGGAGCUUCCAAACCAAACGGGGCAGGAAAGAUUGGUGGAGCCAAAUAACGUUGAACAGGGUUGCUCCUCAUUGAAUCAGAGAACGUCUCACCAUUGAACUCUCUCACAUCAUUCCAGUUAGCCAAGGCCUUUUUCACAAUUGCAUCUCCAUGUUCCUGGGAAAAACACACCUGGUAUAUUGCUUAAGCUGUACUAAUGGAAGUAUUUAUCUCCAUUAUUGACAGGUAAACAUUCUGGCUUCAAGCAACUAAUUUUUUUUGACAAGUAAAGUUGCAUUCCAAUGGGAUGAACUUGUAUUCAGAUUAAAGUACGUGAGUGCAGCACAGNNNNNNNNNNNNNNNNNNNNNNNNNNNNNNNNNNNNNNNNNNNNNNNNNNNNNNNNNNNNNNNNNNNNNNNNNNNNNNNNNNNNNNNNNNNNNNNNNNNNNNNNNNNNNNNNNNNNNNNNNNNNNNNNNNNNNNNNNNNNNNNNNNNNNNNNNNNNNNNNNNNNNNNNNNNNNNNNNNNNNNNNNNNNNNNNNNNNNNNNNNNNNNNNNNNNNNNNNNNNNNNNNNNNNNNNNNNNNNNNNNNNNNNNNNNNNNNNNNNNNNNNNNNNNNNNNNNNNUGUUGAUGAGUGCCUCAGAUUCUCAUGGAUGAACUGAAUAAAGUGCUGAAAGUGGUCUUUAACUUACUCAAUAUAGAGGGCCACUUAGAUUUACAAGGUCACUAACCUUAACUUUGCUUCACAAAGAGCGCAAGCUCAAAAUCACUCCAUUAAUAGAAAGUCUCUAUUAUGGAUCUAAACAUAGCAUCUAUUUUUUUUUUUUUAUUCUCUCCACGGGAACUUCAUUAUACUUUUGUGAUCGGAAAGAAAAAAACAAAACAAAAGAAAAAGCAAAGCCUCUAGAUGUCAAUUAACUCCUUGUUUCAGGUUUCCAAAUCUCUAGUCAAUUCUAACACCUACUAAGCCACACAGCUACAAGUGAACAUCAAAAUACUGAUUACAUAGAAAAUAUGGGACAACUAAUUCGAAUUCCCCAAGAUGGGGUGUGGCGAGUGAACUGGCUUGACAAAAUUGAGUAGGAACUCCUUGGUUACUUACCUUCUCUUGAGCAGAAAGUCGAUGAGUAGCAAAAUAUUCCGUGUCUUUGACUAGGCCGAUUGGUUGACCAUCAGUGUUGAAUACAGCACCAUGCUUCGUCAGGCCAUCAGGAUAGUCCAAGUAAAGUUUCCACUUUGUUUCGCAAGUCUUUGCAUGGCGUAUCAGGCUAUCCCACUACUUCUCUGUUAUGCUCUUUCCGAGAAUCUAUGAUGAGUGAACACACAGGACUUACAUUCUUGGCAGUCAAUCAAACCCUAAUUGGGAAUCAUUAACUGAGUGCUUACCUCUCUCAAUUUCUCGGGGUCCGUGAACAGUUGCAGUAGAAAGUCUUCCACUUUAUAUAUUCCAGCAUCACUUAGUUUUUGGUGAGAUUUCCCACCUUUGGCAAUGUUCUCCAACCUCCAAACCUCAUCGUCAGAUGCAGGUGGAUGAUGUUUCAUGUAUGCUGUAAAAUGAAGAUUAGAUUAAUUUGUAGAAGCAAACCUCUAGGAGGCUUGCAAUCUCUCCCCUGUAGGAGGCUUGCAAUCUCUCCCCUGAAACUGAUCCAGAGUGUGGACAUUUACCAAUAACAAACAAACCGAUAGCUUCUUAUUUAUCAGAAUUUUUGUUCAAGUUGUAAAGGUCCACACGAAAAUGAAGCUCUAAAUUAAAAAAUUGAAGACUGUGGACGUCCAAAAUCAUGUUUAUGUUCAGUCAAAUAGGAUAAGGUUUAUAUACUGUAGAAAGACUAUGAAGGACCUACCUUCCCCUCUAUGUUCCUUGACUUGGAAGGCGUCUGUUUUUGCUUCUCGGAUUCGUGUGUUCCCACAACUACCCGUUGCCACCUUAAGCCCUAUCCUGAAUCUUUUACUCCUAUUCCAACUGGAAUUGUCAGUAAAUAUCAGUUCUCCGAUCUCCCCAACACCUUCCUUGAGCUUCACUACGAGAUCUCCAGCCAAAAGCGGCCUCUUUCCUUCACGUUGUUUAACCACGUGGCUCUCAAACGCUUCUUGGGUCCAGUUAUCCUCAUCGUCUUUGUUGAAGUCACCUUCGAGCACGACGAUGUCCAACUUAAUGGAGGAUUCCAGGCCUGAUCUAACUACAUCCCCUGUAUUUGCAUUGAUCAAGGCAACGGAAAUGUGUGCACCCCCCACUCCUUCUAGUUUCUGUCCAGUAAAUAGAGAAUCUGACAGUUUGGUUUGAAUUUGAAGCCGUAAGUCUCUCACAUCACUCUCCCGUAGAAUUAGCAUUAGCCCUGCAUUCUCUCCAGAAACCAACCAUCAGAAAUAGGAAUGUGUAUAAAAAACGGAAAAUUGGAAAAAUAACGACAGAGAGACAAAAUACCCAACAUCUCACUUGGACAGGUCUUACUGCCGAGGAAACUACAAGGAUAAAUAGGCCUGUCGUUUUAUUUGUUUAAUAAUUCACAUUUAAAAAAAAAAUGAAGUAAAAUAAAAUAAAAUGUUCCACUGGCAAGCUACAAGGAUUAUGUUCUAAAUUGAGCAUUGACACUUUGGUGCACGACCGAGUCAUUGUGGCAUGACACUCACUGAGAGCUCAGACUGCCUGCUUGGGGUGGUAGUGGUAGGUCGGACCAUUAUUCCCCAAAACAUCAACAAUGCAUAACCUGUCAACACUACACAGAAAGCCUUUCUCAACAGCAUCACGAGGGAAGUGCAUCCAUACCUUGCACGCUGGGGAGAAUGAAUGUUUCCAAAAUCCACUGCUUCCAUCUGUUCAAAACCACCAACAGCAGAAUUGCCAAAGUUGGAGACAUCCAAAAAAUGAAGCAGGAGGGAUACAAAACCAAUCCAUUCCAUCAAAAGGAGUUGGAAAACCUAUGCUGUGGCUCUUUCCUAAAAACAACUUAUCAAACACCUUAUUGAACUAAGUUCUUCAUGCAUAUUGAAUUCACUAUCUUUUACCUAACAGCAGUUGUCUAUAAACUCAUAUGAUCAAUCCUAAGCAUUUUCAUUUUCCCCUUCCAUUCCAUGUCCAUGAAAAAAAUUUCAUGUGCUUUAGAAUGGUUAUGAUUUAGCUUUAGGUGAUAAAGCCACAUUUGAAACUGUUAUUGAGGAGAAUGAAUGGAGAUGGCCUCCAGCAAGGUCUGAUGAUCUGCUUGAAACUCAGAUGGCUUUGUGUGGGUUGAUUGCUCCAAACUCUGGCUCUAUAGACAGUGUGGUAUUUACUGGAUCAUCUAGGGGCUCUUUCUCUAUAAAGGAGAGUUCGAAGCUAGUGAGGACAUGGGGGAACAAAGUGACUUGGCUUAGGCUUGUAUGGUUUAUGCCUAAUAUGACAAAACAUGGGUUUAGAACCUGGCUAGUGAGUCGUAAUAGGUUGCACAGAAGGAUCUCCUAUGUCAAGAUAUAAGGCUUUCCUAUUAUAACAAGUUGUUCAAAAGGAUCUCCUGUUCUUCCCGUCGAGCAGGGAUGCAAGUUGGCCCUAGUAAGCUGACAGUACUGAGUGGAAGGUCCUCACUCAACGGAUAUAAGUUACUCUAUGGAUAACAGGUUGAUCUUCCCCAAGAGUUCACAUUGACAAGAAGGUUUGGCACCUCAAUUUUGUCUGCCCAUGUGGGACAUUAUGCUGUAACAGACUUGUAUGGAAAUUAGGCCUUCCCAUGUUUUUCUUUCCACAGGUUGCACAACAAAAUGAAUAUUUACUUAUAGACAAAGGAGAUCGUGUGAAGUUUGUCUGUCGGAAUGAAGCGAUUAGUAAGUUCAUUCUAUCACUUCAUGACAUGCAGAGAAACAACUCAUACCUUAAGUGUUGAUGAAGAUAUGUCUGUGAAAAAGUAGAAAUCUUAUAAACUUGUUUAUCUUACCAAUCUCUGAAAAUCAUUCUCUGAGCGCAUCUGUGGCACUAUAUCUUUGAGAGCAUUCCAGAUGCAACUACACCAUAAAAAUUGAUACCAUGAACAACUGCUGUCUUGUGGACUUAUUCGUAACAAAAAGACAGAUAACCCUUGACAUUUAAGUUACUUGUACAAAUGAAUGUCAGAUCUAAUUACUGUAUAAACCAUAAAUGCCAGACUCAUCAAAUGCAUUCCUUAAUCUAACUCGACAUAAAAAGUCAACAUAAAACUGGAAUACAAAUUUAUCCAGUACUUUGAUAACAGAAGCAAAUAAUGUUGAUUAGCUGCUAUCUCCAAAUGCACCAUCCUGUCAGUGAUUUAAAGAAAAAGGUAUGCACAGGUAUUACACUUUGCCGAACAGAAAUUUGGAUUUAUGGCAUUAAUACUUUGAUGAGACAAUAGACAUGGAAAUUCUCCUGCAGAAAUCAGUUCAUGCAGAUAUGAUACUGCCAACAAACCAAAUGAAAUAUAAUCACCUUUGAAAAUAUUUGGCCCUGUCAGAUUUAGCACUCUCCAGCUCUUCUCGUAACUGUCCAGCAAAGAAAGCAAAAGCAAAUGAUUACAUAAACAAGAGCCAUCUGUCACGUAAUCAUCACAUUCAAGUUUCACAUCACAGGUAUCUUCAUUUUCCUCCUCCUACGUUCAAAGGGUCAUUGACCACAUUUUCCAGGAUUCAAGGCGACAGUUAUGUCCAGGGCACUUCAUCGAAAAUUUGUAUCUUUUUGUGAACCAUACUGCCCAACACAACAUGAAAAGCCUAAAGCAUGUGUUUAGUGCAAUUGCUUCCCAGGAAAAUCCUAGAACAUUCAGCAGGUCAUUUUUACCACUCAAGCAAUAAUUCUCUAUACAUCUCUUGGCAAUUUCUCACGCGGAUUACUGUCCAGAAACUGGCCGGAAUGUCAGAAAUGCAUCUAACCACUUCUGAUCGAAGAAACAGGAAUUGAAAUAUAAUAAGGGCUGUACUUUGCAUGUCCAACUUGGCUACUUCACUCAUCUUACCAUACUCCGCAGAUCCUCUGUCAAACAGCAAGUCAAACAGCAACUCGGCACAGGAUUCAUUUCGGACCCGUUCCAUGCUUGACUGCAUGAACAUCAGCACAAAAGUACAAGCGAGAUAGGAUAUUUAGACGACAGGAUAGCAAAUUAACCUGGUAACGAUAACAGCUCACUUGCUAGAUAAAUGAUUUUAACAGAAUUCAGCUCAAAUAAGGAGGAAGUACUGCAAUUGGCCAACAUAAAUUCACAAAACAGAUUUGAGACGAUGACAUCCGAGGUCAUUAGUACUUCGCAUUAAAACAACAGCACAAACCCAUAAAUAAAGAACUGAACGAAAGUGAUUUUGAACGGUCAUGAGGCAAAAGCUUAUCGAUGGCGGGCUUUCACCANNNNNNNNNNNNNNNNNNNNNNNNNNNNNNNNNNNNNNNNNNNNNNNNNNNNNNNNNNNNNNNNNNNNNNNNNNNNNNNNNNNNNNNNNNNNNNNNNNNNCCUCAAGUACAGCUAAAACUAACGCAGAUCAUCAAACAACGAAUCCAGCAUGAUACGUCAGAGGGAAGAGCGAGCUUACUUGAUGGAGGCAAGCAUGGCAUCUUGGGUUACUUGGUUGACAUGAAGAAGAAGAGGGAGGCAAAGCUCUCUUUGGCUUCCGCAUGGCUUUUCCCUUCUCCUUUCUGGAGCUCAACGAGAAGCAAGAGAAUGUCUGGUUACUGAAAAAGCGCAGCACAGAGCAGAGAGCAGAGAGCAGAGAGAGAGAGAGAGAGAGAGAGAGAGAGAGAGAGAGAGAGAGAGAGAGAGAGAGAAUCAGCCUGCUGUAGAAAUUAUUGGCUUUAGAAUGGGUGAGCUCAGGGGUCUUUCAAGAUGGCACUCUUGUUACCUGGGUAUUGGUUUGGAUGAGACACUGGUGGACAAUGCAGUAGAAAAGGCUGGAAUGCUGCUUGUACAGGUUGAGCGAUUCGUAAGGGUGCUCUCAUCUGUUGUGCAGCAGGUAGCCUGUUACAAUCUUUGUUAUGAUUUCUCCACGUUUCUUGAUACCUUCUGUUUGCUACUCUUUUCCAAAAUCUUGCCCGUCUCUCAUCGUGCAUAUCUUUAGUCAUGCUAAAUUCCUAAAUUUUAAACAUGGAGUUGAACUACUUGUGGAUAUAAGACACAAGAUCUUGUGUGCUCAGAAUGACAUUAUUCUAGCUGAAUAACAUUUAAUAUUUGAAAGCGUUUUCGUUGAGAAUUUGAGGAAGAUAUUGUUAGCUGGGCAUUUGCACAUGACUUGAACCUGUUUAACAAAGUUUCAUCUCGCACCUUUUAAGAUCAUGAUGAAAUACUGACAAUAUCACAUUGUUAUUUGUUGAUAUAUAUCAUCGUGUAUUUGAAGGACCAAAGAGAAAUUGCAUGACUUUUUUAUCUUUGCUUACGGCACCUUGACAACUUAGGGUUUGUUGAUACCUUUUCAAUUUCGCACAUGCUAUGCUGGAGACAUCCAUUCUUUCUUGUUUUAAAAUGAAAAUAUUGCCAGUGUGACCACUGAAUCUAGACAAGCUCAGAAUAUUGGUAGGAUCCUAAAUUCUUGAGCCAGCGGUGUAAGCAUUUUGUAUUGGUUGAUAAUGUGCAUGUUGCUGAAGCUUUUGGUUUUGGUUUUGGUUUUGUGUCUCUUUCAGUUUGCAAAUUUCUUCAGCUGGCUUCUGAAAUGUAUAAAGCAACUUAUGUCAGAGCCAAGUGAUCAACUUUUAACAUACAAUAGGUUUGUCUAACUUUUGUCCAUCAGGUUCAUUCCUUAUGGUGAAUCCCUAUUUACUCUUAUGAAUUUCGACAGUGAACUUGUUGUCGUGUUCUUGAAGUUUCUGUAUGAUCAAGAUCCUGUUAUGCAGCUUCUGGAUCUAUCCGAGGCUGAUGAAGAAAUGGACAUUGAUUUGUAAGUGAUUUCCUCCAACUUGUCCAGUUCCUAAUUCUAAGUCAUUUACAAUAUGGCACACAGAACCCCUGAAUCUUUAGUUAAUAUGUGUUCAUACCUGAUGGAGUCACCAAGUGGACUGUUUGGCAUUGCCAUAUACAGAGCUUCCAGUAGAAAUGGCUUGUAUACUCCCUGAAAGUUAAUUAUUUUCCCUCAUUUCAGUCGACAUUAACUUUACUUGGGCUGAGAUGUGACAUGUCAUUAUUUUUGAUAGAAUGGCUACCCAUUGAAUUAAUAAAUUUCUUCUCUUGUGCAUCAUCUGAAGUUUGGCUCCUACUUGGUGUUCUUAAUGAAUUUCAUUCAUCUAAUAAGAAAAUGUUAUUGCCUGGCCCUAGUUAUGGAAUCAUAUGUAUCAUUCAGACAUGAUGACUGGAUUCAUAAUUUGACAUAACCUUCUAAUUCCAAGUGUGGGCCAUCUCUUCAUUCGUUGUAUCUGAAAUUUGGUGAGGCAAUGGCUUGGAUACUGUGAAGUGUCGACAGCUUAGUAUUGCCUUCAUGUACUCUAGCAGCAAAUUUUGGUGGCCCUUCACUAGGUUGUGCUAUCCAUUUGUGUGCCAGAGGAUUAAAAUAUCAUGGCGUAAUGGACCUUGGUCACGCUUUAAAUGUCAGAGCGGUAUCCUGUCAAGCCUAGUAUUCUUUUCAUGCACUCUAGUGGCUCACUCAUGCCUUUUUGCAAUGCGACCAAAUUAGUUGCUAAAUUCAGAGUAUCGAAAUUGUGAAUGACUCCUGGUUUGAGGGUUAGUUCUUCAUUUUAAGUCAUCUUGCUACCGUCCUCCUAAAUACUUCUAAGAGCACAAGAGAUGAGGUUGACUCAAGUUAGGGUGCUUUGCUGGGCUUUGACUGUGGUCAUUCUUGGUCCAGCAUAUGUUGCUAAUGACAGGGUAACGAGGAUUGAAAUUGACGGGUUGAUUGUCAUUUCUCAUUGGACUGGAAAGUCUUUUGAAAAUCAAAUGUAGUUUCAUGCGCUUGUCUGCCUUGAUGUUUGAUGUCAGGUCAAUAAGAUGUUUUACACAUUAUUGUUUCAGAGAAACUAUGAAGAGAGUCAAAGAAUUAGUGCAAUUUGGAGGAUUUGGGGACAGCAAAUAUUUGUGAAGGACACUUGCAAAGGAGUUUCAACAGAUGGAACACAGGUAUCAGCAAAAGAAUUGAAUGAAAUUUAAUAGAAUCUUGUUCAUGCAUGGAAGUUCUUACUUGAAUGUGUCUUGUUGCUCUUUCAUUGUCGAUUCUUUGUAUUUAUGCUAUAUCUAGAUUUUCCAUUCACUAAUGUUUUUCUGCAUGCUACCUCAGUGGGGAAUAUAUGAACGCUGGGAUAAAUCGUUGCUGUCAUCUGUCAUUUGAAGUGAUCGAUUUUUUCCCUCCUCCAAGUCUGGUCCUCAUUGCUGACGAGUGUACCGAAUAUGAAAUUCUCGAUCUCUUUGUAUGCAUAACAGAGGUUUGAGUAUGAUGGUCCGGCUCCAAAAUGGUUUACGUAAACAUUGCAAUCCUUCACUUAAAACCUUGUGCUUUGGUUUCACCCAACUCAUCGUUUAAUUGAGCUGAAAUAUUCAUUUCUCAUUUGGCUAAUUUAGGUAUCUUGAUAAUGUCAUUUGUCAGUAGAUCUUUCUAUCCAAAUUCCUGUUACAAUAAAAUUGUAGCUAUAUUUUAUAUUUCCUUGUCUGAGUGGCCAGAACCUUGAGACUAUAAUGAGAGAAGGAAAAAAAGGAAACCCUCGGGGGUGGGGGUUGUCUUCUGAAGGUUGUACUCAACAAUGGUUUUUUACUUACCCUCUACCUAAUAAUCUAGUGUUUCGUAUUCAAUCUCAGGUUGAUUACUUGACAAUGUACAUGGAAACUUAAGCUGGGUGAUCUUAUUGGAUUGGGCUUUCUGAUUAGUUUAUGAUUAUUGUGUGAUAAUGCUGUAUCUCAUGUUUACUGAUUAGGAAUAAAUUUAAAUUUUUACAGUUUCAAGGAAGCUGCCCAGAUGCCUUUUUCUACCAUUUCAAAAAAGAUAUGUUGUAAGAAUUUAUUGCCUCUAUUCCGUCUUACAUCAGUUUCAGCAUCCACCCGAUACAUUCCAAUUUCACUGUCCUCCUAUGAGGUAUUUAGCCUUAAUCUGAAUCUACAAUUUUAUCCGGAGAUCUGCAUGGGCAGAGUACAACUUCUUUUUCAUGCUAAUCGUUUCUUCAUAUGGCUUUGCAGGAUGCCUCUGAAUUUGCUUCAUCUAAUCUGACUCAUGAAGUUGGGUUUACAGACUAUAUUUCCUUCCAAUUACCUGACGAGUCUUUUUAGAUGUUACAAACUGUAUAGCUGUAGUGAGGGGAUCUAUGAAUGAUUCAAGCAAUGUGAAGCNNNNNNNNNNNNNNNNNNNNNNNNNNNNNNNNNNNNNNNNNNNNNNNNNNNNNNNNNNNNNNNNNNNNNNNNNNNNNNNNNNNNNNNNNNNNNNNNNNNNUUGGCUCUAUAUAAGGUAAAAGCCUGGCAUAUAUUGCUUUAAGAAUUUGUGGAUGUGGCUAAUAUAUUUUAUUUUGAAACAGGACCAUCAAAUUGUUAUGUUGCUAAAUAAGAUGAAUGAUACUGGUGAAAAUUUGGGAGAUGCCUGGAUGAUGAUCUUGCAGGCCAGUGACCUUCCAUUUGUGCACAUUUCAGGAACCACUCGGGCAAAUAACUGGGAGUUGUACCGAUUAAAGGUAACUCUUGGAUCCUAAGCUUGCAUAUUGAUUUCGUACUCGUGAUACGUAUAGGACGCUGUUUGUUCUGAUACGUGUCAGUUCACUAUUUAAAACAUUGAUGGCAAAAAGAAAAUUGCUUUUCAGUUGACUCCUGUUCUUUUCAGUGUUUUAAGAACCGGCUCUGGUUGGAUCAGGAACCAGACCUGUCCAGUCUGGUUUCACAGCAGAAACAGUAGUGGUCAAGAACUGGUGGUAUUGACCCUAUUGUUAUCAGGCGUAACUGUCAACUGUUGACCCACAAUCCUGUCAACUAGUUUGGACCAGUUCUGGGCAUUCAAAAUGUUUAAAGGAAGAGUGUUGGAGUUGGGUUGGGGUUUGGAAUUCGAACCUCUUGUAACUACCAAGCGUACCAACCAUUCACUCCAGUGUCUUCUUGCUUCAAUUUGGUGGUGCAUUAGUAUCCAUUGACCUUAUUGGUUUAAUCUAUUAGAAAAUUAAAUGAUGUUCUUGAGAACUUGAAUGCUGUCAUUUGUGCUCAAUGAGGCUCUGCCGACUCAGCCAGGCAUCUAUUAAUCUGAACACGUGUAAUCUAAUAGAUGUGGAGUAUUCUAUCAGAUGACAUCACAUGCAAUAUGUUAAACCCAUUAAACUGGUAGAACACAGUUCUACCAGUUUGACCGGUUGAACCACUUGUCCAGUUUCAAAAACACUAGGAAUUUUAUUCUUCCUAUCUUUUAUUUGUAUGCUUUCCUCAUCAGCAUGAGAAGCAGCAGCUUAGUUUUUCCUCCUAUGUGCAUGGACAUGCUAUUUCACGCUUGGGAACUCUGAAGGGUGUUUUACUUUCUACCUUACUAUAACUGCAAAAGUUCCAACUUAUCUUGGCAGUUAAAGCCUUCUACAUGUAUGUUGGUUAAAAAGUAGGCAUGUGGUGUCCCUAAUUGAUUUUUUAUUUUUUUGGUCAGAAUGUCCCUAAUAGGUAAGAACUGCCAUUUUCGCUUCUAUUUUGUGAGAACAUUUUUUGCUUGGUUAUCUUAUUCUCACUCCUGAAACAUUAACACAGUGAAACUAUGCAUGUAGGACUCUAUAUUACACCUAGAUGUGGAGAAUGAGAAGAUUCGCAGCAUUCCCCAUACUGUUGUUCCUCCCUUCUCAGUUAGUGGUAAGAAUUUUUGACACCACCAUACAACUGAACUAAGGAUUAAACCAUUGUCAUGCCAUCAAUUUUAUAGUCCUGAAUUUUUUUCCUUGAGCUUCUUACCAUGUCCAUCUGCAUUUUUGGAUGUUUGGAAACUUGUUGUUGCCCAUACUAUUUCCCUUGUGUAUCAAUGCUUGAUAAACUUGCGAGUGUUUGCAACAAUUCCAUCUUGUUGACUAGGUAGUGGACUGAAUAAAUCCUGUCCAUGCUCCUUACUACAUUUUCACUUAACAGCCUACUCAUAAGUUUAAAUAUGACUGGUUAUGACUGUCUUAGGUACAAUAUGUCUCUUUAAUGGACCACUUCAUGUUUGUUCCCACAGUUUGAAGAAGUGCAAACUUAUGCUCCAAAGAAGAAUAUUUUUUCGGUUGAAGAAGUAAUAUACUAAUGUAUCAGGUUUUCCCCUAAAUUUAAAUCUAUUGAGAGGUCAAAGUGCAAAAAAGGUGAAUCUUUAGAGGCCACACAAGUACAGAGAAUAUUCUUCUUAUGGUAGGUUCACUGCGGUCUAGUUACUGACUGAGAACCUGUACAUGUUCAUGAUGAUAGAUACUAUCAUGAUAUCUAGUGUAGCAAGAUACUGUAGAGCAUUCAUAGUUUACAUGCAUACCAUAGCCUCCCUGGGCAGCAAGGUUUGCUUCCCCGCCUGUGUUUUAGCAUAAUGCAUGUGUUGUAGUUUUGCUUUUACCCAACAAAGGUAUCUAAACAUCACGUUAGUCAUGGCCAUAUAUUCAAGAAACGUUGGACUGAAAUCAAGUUAAUGUUUUUAUGGCGACAGCAAGUAGAGGUGUGGCUUGUGUUUUAGCUGCAAGAAAACGGGCCCUGGUCUACAUACUGGACGAGGCUGAAGAUGAAAUCUCUGAUUCAGAAUGACUGUCUGUUCAAGAUUUUGUGGUGGUUAUGCUCGUGUUGCUCCUGUGGGUGGACCUCUGCUCUCCGAAGCUGCAGACAUCGGUGUGAGAAGCAAUGGAUUUUGGCUUUUGUG
rnacentral:lncRNA from 1 species